rnacentral:lncRNA from 1 species
AUUUUAAGAAGGAAAUUGUCUUAAUUAUUUCUUUUCUCUUUAGCACCUGAUCUGAUGGCAGUGGGUUGAAGGUCACCCAAAAGUGUUGCUGUCCACAUUAAUGAAGAACACGUUGAAACCUUUCAUGAAGAUCUCAUUUUUACACUGGACACAUUGGCUUCACCAAAUUUACCCAAGAUAGGUGAUGACCUAAAGGUAUGUUCAUUUUCUCUAUCUGAUAUUUUCUGCCAAAGCUGUUGUUCUAUUUUGCAUUACUUAUUCUUUCUUUUUGGUAUCUACAAAGAUGAUAUGGCAGGUAUGUAGGAUAUUUUGGCAGGAAAUACUAAUGUGGUUUAUUUGAGGUCAGUGCAUGGAAAUACCUGGAUAUGACAUACAGGGCAGAGCUGGGGGUAUAGUUCAUGAAAAAUACUGACUAUAAUAGCGCCUCCUCUUAUCCGUGGGGAUCCGUGGGUAUGUUCCAAACCCCCUGUGGAUGGCUGAAACUGC